GAUGAACGCUGGCGGCGUGCCUAAUACAUGCAAGUCGAGCGAACAGACGAGGAGCUUGCUCCUCUGACGUUAGCGGCGGACGGGUGAGUAACACGUGGAUAACCUACCUAUAAGACUGGGAUAACUUCGGGAAACCGGAGCUAAUACCGGAUAAUAUAUUGAACCGCAUGGUUCAAUAGUGAAAGACGGUUUUGCUGUCACUUAUAGAUGGAUCCGCGCCGCAUUAGCUAGUUGGUAAGGUAACGGCUUACCAAGGCAACGAUGCGUAGCCGACCUGAGAGGGGGAUCGGCCACACUGGAACUGAGACACGGUCCAGACUCCUACGGGAGGCAGCAGUAGGGAAUCUUCCGCAAUGGGCGAAAGCCUGACGGAGCAACGCCGCGUGAGUGAUGAAGGUCUUCGGAUCGUAAAACUCUGUUAUUAGGGAAGAACAAAUGUGUAAGUAAAUAUGCACGUCUUGACGGUACCUAAUCAGAAAGCCACGGCUAACUACGUG
rnacentral:rRNA from 1 species